GAUGAAGAACGCAGCGAAAUGCGAUAAGUAAUGUGAAUUGCAGAAUUCAGUGAAUCAUCGAAUCUUUGAACGCACAUUGCGCCCGCCAGUAUUCUGGCGGGCAUGCCUGUCUGAGCGUCAUUUCAACCCUCAUGCCUGGCUUGGUGUUGGGCGACGUCCUCUUUGGGGACGCGCCUCGAAACGCUCGGCGGCGUGGCACCGGCUUUAAGCGUAGCAGAAUCUUUCGCUUUGGAAGUCGGGGCCCCGUCUGCCGGAAGACCUGCUCGCAAGGUUGACCUCGGAUCAGGCAGGGAUACCCGCUGAACUUAAGCAUAUCAAUAAGCGGAGGA
rnacentral:misc_RNA from 1 species